UACGUAGGGUGCAGGCGUUAAUCGGAAUUACUGGGCGUAAAGCGUGCGCAGGCGGUCUGCUAAGAGAGGUGUGAAAUCCCCGGGCUUAACCUGGGAACUGCGCUUCUAACUGGCAGGCUUGAGUGUGGCAGAGGAAAGUGGAAUUCCCGGUGUAGUGGUGAUAUGCGUAGAUAUCGGGAGGAACACCUGUGGCGAAGGCGGCUUUCUGGGCCUUACCUGACGCUGAGACGCGAAAGCGUGGGGAGCGAACCGG
rnacentral:rRNA from 1 species